rnacentral:rRNA from 1 species
UUAAGCGACUAAGCGUACACGGUGGAUGCCCUGGCAGUCAGAGGCGAUGAAGGACGUGCUAAUCUGCGAAAAGCGUCGGUAAGGUGAUAUGAACCGUUACAGCCGGCGAUGUCCGAAUGGGGAAACCCAGUGCAAUUCGUUGCACUAUCGUUAACUGAAUACAUAGGUUAACGAGGCGAACCGGGGGAACUGAAACAUCUAAGUACCCCGAGGAAAAGAAAUCAACCGAGAUUCCCCCAGUAGCGGCGAGCGAACGGGGAGCAGCCCAGAGUCUGAAUCAGCUUGUGUGUUAGUGGAACGGUCUGGAAAGUCCGACGGUACAGGGUGAUAGUCCCGUACACCAAAAUGCACAGGCUGUGAACUCGAAGAGUAGGGCGGGACACGUGGUAUCCUGUCUGAAUAUGGGGGGACCAUCCUCCAAGGCUAAAUACUCCUGACUGACCGAUAGUGAACCAGUACCGUGAGGGAAAGGCGAAAAGAACCCCGGCGAGGGGAGUGAAAAAGAACCUGAAACCGUGUACGUACAAGCAGUGGGAGCACCUUCGGGUGUGACUGCGUACCUUUUGUAUAAUGGGUCAGCGACUUAUAUUCUGUAGCAAGGUUAACCGUAUAGGGGAGCCGCAGGGAAACCGAGUCUUAACUGGGCGUUAAGUUGCAGGGUAUAGACCCGAAACCCGGUGAUCUAGCCAUGGGCAGGUUGAAGGUUGGGUAACACUAACUGGAGGACCGAACCGACUAAUGUUGAAAAAUUAGCGGAUGACUUGUGGCUGGGGGUGAAAGGCCAAUCAAACCGGGAGAUAGCUGGUUCUCCCCGAAAGCUAUUUAGGUAGCGCCUCGUGAAUUCAUCUUCGGGGGUAGAGCACUGUUUCGGCUAGGGGGUCAUCCCGACUUACCAACCCGAUGCAAACUACGAAUACCGAAGAAUGUUAUCACGGGAGACACACGGCGGGUGCUAACGUCCGUCGUGAAGAGGGAAACAACCCAGACCGCCAGCUAAGGUCCCAAAGUCAUGGUUAAGUGGGAAACGAUGUGGGAAGGCACAGACAGCCAGGAUGUUGGCUUAGAAGCAGCCAUCAUUUAAAGAAAGCGUAAUAGCUCACUGGUCGAGUCGGCCUGCGCGGAAGAUGUAACGGGGCUAAACCAUGCACCGAAGCUGCGGCAGCGACACUAUGUGUUGUUGGGUAGGGGAGCGUUCUGUAAGCCUGCGAAGGUGACCUGUGAGGGUUGCUGGAGGUAUCAGAAGUGCGAAUGCUGACAUAAGUAACGAUAAAGCGGGUGAAAAGCCCGCUCGCCGGAAGACCAAGGGUUCCUGUCCAACGUUAAUCGGGGCAGGGUGAGUCGACCCCUAAGGCGAGGCCGAAAGGCGUAGUCGAUGGGAAACAGGUUAAUAUUCCUGUACUUGGUGUUACUGCGAAGGGGGGACGGAGAAGGCUAUGUUAGCCGGGCGACGGUUGUCCCGGUUUAAGCAUGUAGGCUGAUUAUCCAGGCAAAUCCGGAUAAUCAAGGCUGAGGUGUGAUGACGAGGCACUACGGUGCUGAAGUAACAAAUGCCCUGCUUCCAGGAAAAGCCUCUAAGCAUCAGGUAACAUUAAAUCGUACCCCAAACCGACACAGGUGGUCAGGUAGAGAAUACCAAGGCGCUUGAGAGAACUCGGGUGAAGGAACUAGGCAAAAUGGUGCCGUAACUUCGGGAGAAGGCACGCUGGUGUGUAGGUGAAGUCCCUGCGGAUGGAGCUGAGACCAGUCGAAGAUACCAGCUGGCUGCAACUGUUUAUUAAAAACACAGCACUGUGCAAACACGAAAGUGGACGUAUACGGUGUGACGCCUGCCCGGUGCCGGAAGGUUAAUUGAUGGGGUUAUCCGUAAGGAGAAGCUCUUGAUCGAAGCCCCGGUAAACGGCGGCCGUAACUAUAACGGUCCUAAGGUAGCGAAAUUCCUUGUCGGGUAAGUUCCGACCUGCACGAAUGGCGUAAUGAUGGCCAGGCUGUCUCCACCCGAGACUCAGUGAAAUUGAACUCGCUGUGAAGAUGCAGUGUACCCGCGGCAAGACGGAAAGACCCCGUGAACCUUUACUAUAGCUUGACACUGAACAUUGAGCCUUGAUGUGUAGGAUAGGUGGGAGGCUUUGAAGCGUGGACGCCAGUCUGCGUGGAGCCAACCUUGAAAUACCACCCUUUAAUGUUUGAUGUUCUAACGUUGGCCCCUUACCGGGGUUGCGGACAGUGUCUGGUGGGUAGUUUGACUGGGGCGGUCUCCUCCCAAAGCGUAACGGAGGAGCACGAAGGUUAGCUAAUCCUGGUCGGACAUCAGGAGGUUAGUGCAAUGGCAUAAGCUAGCUUGACUGCGAGCGUGACGGCGCGAGCAGGUGCGAAAGCAGGUCAUAGUGAUCCGGUGGUUCUGAAUGGAAGGGCCAUCGCUCAACGGAUAAAAGGUACUCCGGGGAUAACAGGCUGAUACCGCCCAAGAGUUCAUAUCGACGGCGGUGUUUGGCACCUCGAUGUCGGCUCAUCACAUCCUGGGGCUGAAGUAGGUCCCAAGGGUAUGGCUGUUCGCCAUUUAAAGUGGUACGCGAGCUGGGUUUAGAACGUCGUGAGACAGUUCGGUCCCUAUCUGCCGUGGGCGCUGGAGAAUUGAGGGGGGCUGCUCCUAGUACGAGAGGACCGGAGUGGACGCAUCACUGGUGUUCGGGUUGUCAUGCCAAUGGCACUGCCCGGUAGCUAAAUGCGGAAGAGAUAAGUGCUGAAAGCAUCUAAGCACGAAACUUGCCCCGAGAUGAGUUCUCCCUGAGACUUUAAGUCUCCUGAAGGAACGUUAAAGACGAUGACGUUGAUAGGCCGGGUGUGUAAGCGCAGCGAUGCGUUGAGCUAACCGGUACUAAUGAACCGUGAGGCUUAACCUU